CGAUAAAAACGGCACAGGACUAAAAGCGGGGGAACCAAUGUAUCGGGGCGAAUCCAGGCCUGCUUGGAGUGGACAUCUCUCAGUCCUAGCCCGUCAGCUAACCCCGUCAGCAAUGAGAAAAGGCGAU
rnacentral:sRNA from 2 species